GCCGGAGUAGUGUAGUGGCAUCACACCACGUUGUGGCCGUGUUAACCUGAGUUCGAUUCUCAGCUCCGGCA